AGGCGAACGGGUGAGUAACACGUGGGCAAUCUGCCCUGCACUCUGGGACAAGCCCUGGAAACGGGGUCUAAUACCGGAUAUGACCUGGUGAGGCAUUUCACCGGGUGGAAAGCUCCGGCGGUGCAGGAUGAGCCCGCGGCCUAUCAGCUUGUUGGUGGGGUAAUGGCCUACCAAGGCGACGACGGGUAGCCGGCCUGAGAGGGCGACCGGCCACACUGGGACUGAGACACGGCCCAGACUCCUACGGGAGGCAGCAGUGGGGAAUAUUGCACAAUGGGCGAAAGCCUGAUGCAGCGACGCCGCGUGAGGGAUGACGGCCUUCGGGUUGUAAACCUCUUUCAGCAGGGAAGAAGCGCAAGUGACGGUACCUGCAGAAGAAGCACCGGCUAACUACGUGCCAGCAGCCGCGGUAAUACGUAGGGUGCGAGCGUUGUCCGGAAUUAUUGGGCGUAAAGAGCUCGUAGGCGGCUUGUCGCGUCGGAUGUGAAAGCCCGGGGCUUAACCCCGGGUCUGCAUUCGAUACGGGCAGGCUAGAGUGUGGUAGGGGAGAUCGGAAUUCCUGGUGUAGCGGUGAAAUGCGCAGAUAUCAGGAGGAACACCGGUGGCGAAGGCGGAUCUCUGGGCCAUUACUGACGCUGAGGAGCGAAAGCGUGGGGAGCGAACAGGAUUAGAUACCCUGGUAGUUCCACGCCGUACACGUUGGGAACUACUGUUGGCGACAUUCCACGUCGUCGGUGCGCAGCUACGCAUUAGUUCCCCGCCUGGGGGAGUACGGCCGCAGCUAAAACUCAAGAGUGACGGGGCUCGCACAGCAGCGGAGCAUGUUGCCUUAAUUCGACGCAACCGCGGCAGA
rnacentral:rRNA from 1 species